UGGCUCAGUUGGUAGAGCAUGGUGUUUGCAACGCCAGCAUGGUGUGUGCAACAACAGGGUUGUGGGUUCGAUUCCCAC
rnacentral:tRNA from 1 species